rnacentral:tRNA from 1 species
GUCCUAGUAGCUUAAUUGGAAAAAGCCUUUGUCUUCGGAACAAAAGAGUGCAGGUUCGAGCCCUGUUUAGGACACCA